CCGGGGACUCUGAUAAGACUGCCUGCGCAAGCAGAGAGGAAGGAGGGGACGACGUCAAGUCAUCAUGGCCCUUACGCCCAGGGCGACACACGUGCUACAAUGGCGCAUACAGCGGGUAGCUACCUGGCAACAGGAUGCCAACCUCUAAAAGUGCGUCUCAGUUCGGAUUGGGGUCUGCAACCCGACCCCAUGAAGCUGGAAUCGCUAGUAAUCGCGCAUCAGCCAUGGCGCGGUGAAUACGUUCCCGGACCUU
rnacentral:rRNA from 1 species